UUGGGAAUCUGGUACUCAUCCUAAAACUAGAUUUUAAGAAUCUGCAACCAGCUUUGAUACGGACUAUUGUAGAUCCAGUAUUGAUUGUUGGGAUUUUGCAACGAAAGCGGCAUAUUAGAUUUUUACCAUAAAUCUGUUUCCUCAACAAAAGAUGAUACAAUCAUAAAAGGGAGAAAAAUCAAAAUAGAAAAUAUGGGUAAAAUAAGAUUCACUAAAUAAGAAAAGAAUUAUAUUUGACUCCUUUUCUAUAUAGAGUAGCAUCAAUCCGAACCCUCUUUUUGAAUCUCGUUCACCCUUCUCUUAUCUUCUGGAAGCCCAAAAGAAGACUUCUCUCUCAUCCUGUGCAUCAAUGCACAAGGUAUACUAAUAAUCCACGGUCACGAAAGCUGCACACGUCCUCUUGCAUCCAUCUACUAGGUGCAUCUAAAAUCAUAGCUACCUUGGUCAUGCCAUAUAGGUGUGGCUAAGAAGUACCACCACCACCGCCAAAAUAAUAGUACAUAUGCUAUAUUUAUAGCUUACAUAAAAAACUACCCAAAUCCUACUCUAAAUCUUAAUAUUUGAUCUCUAACAGAUUUAAAUAUUAAUUCUAAUCCAACUAGGAUUCAGCUACAAAUCUAACCAAAAACAAUCUUGACCUUGGUUUGACUUGUAGUUUUUAGCCACUGCAUCGACCCCACUAUGCAAACUCCGCCUUGAGCUUAUCUCCACCACUCGAUGUCGCUGCAUCCGCCACUUCAUCUCGAACGACUACACCUCUGU
rnacentral:lncRNA from 1 species